AAAAUAUUAAUAUAUACCUUUUAUUGGUAUAUACUAAAUUAUUAGGUUAUAUAAAAAUAUACUUUUUAAACUAACCUAUAGUAUGACAAUAAUAUACCCACCCAACAUGUUAAUAUAUAUUUUUUAGUGGUAUAUACUAAUUAUUAAGUUAUAUAAUAUAUAUUUUUUUGUCCCAUGUGUUAUAUAACAUACCCACUUUAUUAACAUUUCUCUGAUAAAAAUUCUUCUUAUUUUUUGAAGAGUUUUUUAUGGGGUUGAGAACUUUUACAAUAAGGUUUUAGAAAACCAAUAGGAACUGGUCGAACCAUUCGUGUUUUUUAUGAUCCUUGGUUUUUUCAUGCUACGACUUUCAAGUCUUUAUACCUCCCUCCUCCCCACUCGAAUAGAGACCUAUUAGUGAGUUGGUUAAAGGGAGAUGGAAUGAGGAUUUGCUUCAGGCUAUGUUUAUUCAAUAUGAUAUCCCUCUAAUCAAGCAAAUUCUUAUUAGCAGAUGGAUUAGACAAGGCAGUUGAACGUGGCACUAUGAUAAAAGUGGCAUUUACAUUGUUAAAUAGUGAAUAUAAGACAUUCAUGCUCAAAAGGAUAACAAUAGAAUCUCCUAACAGUAAUUUAGAUUGUCAUAUGUGGAAAAAGUUAUGGAAGUUAAACAUGCCUAUAAAAAUCAAUCAUUUCUUAUGGACGGCUAUACAUAAUUGUCUACCUACGAGGGAGAAAUUGGGCAAAAAAAGGGAUUGAUAUUUCCCCUUUUUGCCCAAUUUGCAAUUGAAAAGUGGAGGAUGUUUGUCAUGCUAUAUUCCAGUGUACUCAAACGAUUUGGAUCUGGACUGUGUGUACCUGCGAUGCAGGUCGAGACCUUCUCUCAUGGAAGUUUUGUGGAUGCUUGGCUUCACUUAUCCAAGUCCCAAACGCAUUAAGAUCUGGAAUGAGUGGCGAAAAAAAUUUUAGGGUUUAGGGUUUGUGAAUGGACGACGAUUAAAUCAGCAAUCCAUGGAUUCACCGGAUCUUCAACCUCCUCAAAGCUCACAGGAGUUACCCAAUGCCGAGUGGAUCUACAUUCGUAUUAAUGCUUCUUGCAAUCUGGGGCUUCCUUAAAUAGGAGUAGGAGCUUUAGUUCAAGAUAAAGAUCUGAACAUCAUUUCUGCACUGUCCCAAUUUGUGGAUGUCGGAUUCUCACAUUUGCAUUCAGAAUUGGUGGCCAUUAAGGAAGCUCCCCACCUUGCUCUCUAGUUGGGGUUCCAUCAGAUUUGCCUGGAGUUUGAUUGUCUUGAAGCCGUGAAGCUUCUUGCUUCACAUAUGGAAAUUUUGGGAGAGUCGGAGGUUUUGGUUGUCGACAUUCAUAGGCUUCGAAAGAGUUUGGGAAAAGUUAGUUUCAGCCAUGUGCACAGAGAUCAAAAUACAGUAACCAACUGUUUGGCGAAAUAUGCAUUGUUUACUAAGCUUAAUUGCCUUUGGAACUCAAAUUUUCCUUCUUGGGUCUUGUUUCACCAUGGCCCAUUUGGUGCUUCUGUUGCCCAAGUGGCAAGUAUUUUUUAAUGAAGUUUCUUUUUCUUUGGAUUUCAAAAAAA